GAUGGAGCCCCAUAACCACUGGAAAAUGGUCCGAGUCGCCACCCACCGUCCUAACCCUAGUCUUAGCUCCAUCGUACAUGUCCUUGAUUACUCUGUUGUAGGCUUCCGGCACGCUCUUCGCCACCAAGCACCCCCAUAGCACCUCCCUUGGGACCUUGACAUACGCCUUCUCCAAGUCGAUAAGCACCAUGUGCAUGUCCUUCUUCUAAUCCCUGAACUGCUCCACCAGCCUCGUGACAAGGUGGAUAGCUUCUGUAG
rnacentral:lncRNA from 1 species